AUGUUCCUGUUUCCAUCAUUCCCUGUCCUUCUCCUGUCUGUGGUGACAGCUUCCUGCUCCGAAACAAAAGCCUGUGAGGAUACCCAGAAGACCUGCUCCGUGAUUACCUGUGGCAUCCCCGUCACCAAUGGCACCCCAGGCAGAGAUGGGUGAGAUGGACCCAAGGGGGAAAAGGGAGAGCCAGGUCUGGGACAGGUCAAGGGCUCAGAGGUUUGCAGGGCCCUCCUGGGAAGAUGGGGCCCCCAGGAAACACAGGGGCUUCUGGAAUUCCAGGACCUAGGGGCCAAAAAGGAGAUCGUGGGGACAAUUCAGUUGCUGAGGCUAAGCUGGCCAACUUAGAGAGAGAGCUACGGAGCCUGAGAUCAGAAUUGGACCACACAAAGAAGCUGCAAGCCUUCUCCUUGGGAAAAAUGUCUGGGAAGAAGCUCUUCGUGACCAACGGUGAGCGGAUGCCUUUUUCCAAAGUUAAGGCUCUGUGUGCUGGGCUCCAGGCCACGGUGGCUGCCCCCAAGAAUGCCGAGGAGAAUAAGGCCAUCCAGGAUGUGGCCAAAGACACUGCCUUCCUGGGCAUCACAGAUGAGGCAACUGAAGGCCAGUUCAUGUACGUGACAGGUGGGAGGCUGACCUACAGCAACUGGAAGAAGGAUGAGCCAAAUGACCACGGCUCAGGGGAGGACUGCGUAAUUCUCCUGAACAAUGGGCUCUGGAAUGACAUCUCCUGCGCGUCCUCCUUCAUCGCCGUCUGUGAGUUUCCUGCC
rnacentral:sRNA from 1 species